rnacentral:rRNA from 1 species
GAUGAACGCUGGCGGCGUGCCUAACACAUGCAAGUCGAACGAGAACGGAUUAUAGCUUGCUAUAAUUGUCAGCUAAGUGGCGCACGGGUGAGUAAUGUAUAGGUAAUAUGCCUUUUACUAAGGAAUAACAAAUGGAAACGUUUGCUAAUACCUUAUACUCCUUAUUAACCUAAGUUAAUAAGGGAAAGAUUUAUUGGUAAGAGAUUAGCCUGUAUUGUAUCAGUUAGUUGGUGGGGUAAUGGCUUACCAAGACUAUGACACAUAACUGGUUUGAGAGGAUGAUCAGUCACACUGGAACUGAGACACGGUCCAGACUCCUACGGGAGGCAGCAGUGGGGAAUAUUGCACAAUGGACGGAAGUCUGAUGCAGCAACGCCGCGUGGAGGAUGACACAUUUCGGUGCGUAAACUCCUUUUAUAUGAGAAGAUAAUGACGGUAUUAUAUGAAUAAGCACCGGCUAACUCCGUGCCAGCCGCCGCGGUAA